UACGUAGGUGGCAAGCGUUGUCCGGAGUUAUUGGGCGUAAAGCGCGCGUAGGUGGCUUCGUAAGUCCGUUGUGAAAGUCAAAGGCUCAACCUUUGAAUGCCGAUGGAUACUGCGAAGCUAGAGUACGGAAGAGGCGAGUGGAAUUCCUGGUGUAGCGGUGGAAUGCGCAGAUAUCAGGAGGAACACCAAUAGCGAAGGCAGCUCGCUGGGACGUUACUGACACUAAGGCGCGAAAGCGUGGGGAGCGAACAGG
rnacentral:rRNA from 1 species